CAAAGGCGUUGGAGCCAAAUUAUUUAAAAAAAAAAAACCAGUUUCAUUCUAAAUUACUUUUGAAGCGGGAAAAUGAAUCCAGACGGUAAAUGAAUCAGCGUGACUCACUGUCUGUGCCGAGUGUUUUUAUAUUGUCCCCCUCUGACUCACGUGUCGCGAAACAAAAUCGCAUGCUACAUACAACUGAAAGCUUCGAUAGAAACAAUAGUUACAGCUAUAAUUGGAAUUAUUUGUGUUACCGUGAUAUACUGAACAUGAGAUCAUAGAAGGAAGCCUAAAUUUCAUUCAUACACAAGGACUGAAGAUUCAGUUUGAUGAUAAACAUAAGUCACCAACUCAAGUACCAGCAAUUUGCCCUUUAACAUAGUUGUAAUAUUAUUGUGAAGAAAAAAAUCGCCUAGAAAUACUUUUUUAAAUUACUACAGUAGCAAGCAUACUUGAUGUCUUGAACUAGCUAAGAAGGCUACGAAGAACUAACUAAGAACCAGAAAGGCAAAGGAUUCUGUCGUAGUGCGAGCCGUCGAUAGAUCACUGUCUACUGAAGCGUAAAAAAUGCGGAACAUCGGAAUAUCAACUAUAGCGCAGUUUAUUUUUUUUUAAUUAAAUAAAUACAGUUAUAGAAAAAAAA